rnacentral:rRNA from 1 species
UACGGGGGGGGCGAGCGUUGUUCGGAAUUAUUGGGCGUAAAGGGAGCGUAGGCGGUGCGAUAAGUCGGGUGUGAAACCUCCAGGCUCAACUUGGAGCUGGCAUCUGAAACUGCCGCGCUAGAGUGUGGGAGGGGAGAGUGGAAUUCCCGGUGUAGCGGUGAAAUGCGUAGAUAUCGGGAGGAACAUCGGUGGCGAAGGCGGCUCUCUGGACCAUAACUGACGCUGAGGCUCGAAAGCUAGGGGAGCAAACAGG